AUUGAUUGGAAGACACCGAAGGGUUAUAAAGUUAGAUCAUGUAGAAACCUGGCAUCCUCUCUCAAACUAGCUACCUUGGAUGAAGUCAUAAUAGAGAAAGAUCUCAUGGUAGAGCAAUGUGCCACUGAGCCCAAUAUCGUUCUUCCUCAAGUCCAAAUAUCUCAGAAUUUGGGUGAGCAGGAGCUUGGAAGCCAUACUCUCGCAGCAGACAGAGCUGUAAGAAGAUCCCUAGUGCAUAGAGGAAGCUCAGAAGAACCUGAGAUCUUGUACCUGUCACAAGAGACCCUCUUUCAUCUCUUCUAUCAACCCGACUCAAGUAACUGGAGAAAUAAACUUAAGUUGUAGCUAUUAAAAAAAAAGUUGUAGCUAUUGAUACACUUGUUAUAGCUAUUAAUACACUUGUCUGCAUGACCUUGUAUUAAAAAUAAU
rnacentral:lncRNA from 1 species